AACGAACGCUGGCGGCAUGCCUAACACAUGCAAGUCGAACGAACCCUUCGGGGUGAGUGGCGCACGGGUGCGUAACACGUGGGAACCUGCCCUUAGGUUCGGAAUAACAGUUAGAAAUGACUGCUAAUACCGGAUAAUGUCUUCGGACCAAAGAUUUAUCGCCUUUGGAUGGGCCCGCGUGGGAUUAGCUAGUUGGUGAGGUAAAGGCUCACCAAGGCGACGAUCCUUAGCUGGUCUUAGAGGAUGAUCAGCCACACUGGGACUGAGACACGGCCCAGGCUCCUGCGGGAGGCAGCAGUGGGGAAUAUUGGACAAUGGGAGAAAGCCUGAUCCAGCAAUGCCGCGUGAGUGAUGAAGGCCUUAGGGUUGUAAAGCUCUUUUCCCUGGGAUGAUAAUGACAGUACCAGGAGAAUAAGCCCCGGCUAACUCCGUGCCAGCCGCCGCCGUAA
rnacentral:rRNA from 1 species